rnacentral:rRNA from 1 species
UACGGAGGGUGCAAGCGUUGUCCGGAAUCACUGGGCGUAAAGGGCGCGUAGGCGGCUCAUGAAGGCUGUGGUGAAAGUCCGGGGCUCAACCUCGGAUCGGCCGUGGCGACUCGUGGGCUGGAGCACUGUAGAGGCGGGUGGAAUUCCGGGUGUAGCGGUGGAAUGCGUAGAGAUCCGGAAGAACACCAGUGGCGAAGGCGGCCCGCUGGGCAGUGGCUGACGCUGAGGCGCGACAGCGUGUGGAGCAAACAGG